rnacentral:tRNA from 1 species
GAAUUGUGGCUCAGUGGUAGAUCGCUCGCCUAGCACGUGCGAGGCGCUGGGUUCAAUCCUCCGCAACA